rnacentral:lncRNA from 1 species
AAACUCCUCUAAGUCUGGCUGCCUCCAUAGAUAGGUCUGAGACCUCAGUGAUGCACUCCUGUGGCUGUGGAUGUGCCAGAGCUAACACUUGCCCCUGCAAGUCAAGUACUCUCCCAGUCAGUCUCAAUAUAUAACCCUCAAGCUGCUGAAUGCGAACUGACUGAUCUGAAAUCAUCUGGAACACAGUGGAGAUAUGGGGUAUCAAUGUCUGAUCAGAUACAUCAAGUGAUGUGGAUCCCUGUGCAAAAGCUGAAGUGCCCAACUGUCGAGAAAGUAAGGAAGCCACACGCUGAGAGAUCAUCUCUAUCUAGUCAUCAGCUAAUCUGAUCUCUGAGGGAUGUGCUCUGCUGUCUGACUGCUGGACUGGAGUGUGCCUCCUCGUAGACUCUGAUGGGCCAGCCUCAUGAUCUGAAACGAACUGAAUGUCUGGAGAUGCUGCCUUGAGAUCACGGAGGGGUGAAGAUGGUCCUUCUUCCUCAGCUCUAUCCUCAGCUCUGUCCUCAGCUCUCUCUUCUACACCUUUAGUCCAACCACCAUCAGUCCUAGUAAAUCCCAUGCGGUGCAGAGUAUGUUGGUUGAUGGUGUCAGAGUGAGAAAGCCUAGCUACUGCCUCCCCCUCAAAACUAACUCCAAACCUUCUAAAUACCAAAG